CAAUAGCGUAUAUUAAAGUUGUUGCAGUUAAAAAGCUCGUAGUUGGAUUUCUGAUCGAGACAUCAGGUCGGGUCCGAGAGGAUCAUGUACUUUGAUUUUGUUUUGAUCAUCCUUGGGGAGAGCAUUUCUGGCAUUCAGUCGUCGGGAUUGGGAUCCUCAUCGUUUACUGUGAAAAAAUUAGAGUGUUCAAAGCAGGCCUCGGCCUCUGAAUACAUUAGCAUGGAAUAAUAAGAUAGGACUUUGGUGGUCUAUUUUGUUGGUUUGCACGCCAAAGUAAUGAUUAAUAGGGAUAGUUGGGGGUAUUCGUAUUCAAUUGUCAGAGGUGAAAUUCUUGGAUUUAUGGAAGACGAACUACUGCGAAAGCAUUUACCAAGGAUGUUUUCAUUAA
rnacentral:rRNA from 1 species